GAAGAAUUUGGGAAUAGUGUGACGGGUAGUUCGUAGUUCAAUGUGUGACCGUUGUGUGUGAUUGGGAGUGAACCCGUGAAUGAUGAUAAUAAAGUAACUGAUUUUUGUAGUUAGACGAGUGUUGUAUCGUUUUGUGCAUACCUGUAGCCUUGUCACGUCAAAUUUAAUUCCAUAUAUUAAUGCAACGAUGUACCAGUUGCAUUUUUCGUGUUUUUUUAAUCAAUGUACCUGUCAUGUCAGUAAUAAUUAGGACUAAAAAAUUAUCGGACCCAAGCAAAAAAUUAAUUUUCUGACCCAAGAAAAUCCCAUUUGACCCAAGAAACCUCGCAUUUCCGGUGAAAUUAUAUAAAAUUCGGAUUUAAAAAAAAAAUAAAAAUCAACUCCCCAUUAUUUCUUUUUUUACAAAAUAUUAUUUGGAUAUAUAAUAAUUAGGACUAAAAACUAUCUGACCCAAGCAAAAAACUGGCGGACACUGUCCGUACAAAAGUUAUGCAUGCGUGAUGCUAUAUUCCUUUUUUUAUAGUAGCUCCUUUUUAUACAAUAGACCUCGCAAAGAUCGGUGUUUUCUUGUCAUUUUACUUGUCUAACCAACCAGCAAUUGUACCGCGGCAUACACAGUGCGCGGUGCGGCGGGAACCAAUCAUACUGGUUAUCGCGAAGACAACUUCCCAAUCAAUCAAGCGAACUUGUAAAAAAAAAAAAA